ACGUAGGUGGCAAGCGUUGUCCGGAAUUAUUGGGCGUAAAGCGCGCGCAGGCGGCUUCUUAAGUCCAUCUUAAAAGUGCGGGGCUUAACCCCGUGAUGGGAUGGAAACUGGGAGGCUGGAGUAUCGGAGGGGAAAGUGGAAUUCCUAGUGUAGCGGUGAAAUGCGUAGAGAUUAGGAAGAACACCGGUGGCGAAGGCGACUUUCUGGACGACAACUGACGCUGAGGCGCGAAAGCGUGGGGAGCAAACAG
rnacentral:rRNA from 1 species